rnacentral:tRNA from 1 species
UGGGGCGUUAAUUGCCUUCUUCUUGA